CCACUGCUGAGGAGUCCCACAAUAGGACAAAACAGCUGUCCAGUGC
rnacentral:hammerhead_ribozyme from 1 species